CAGUAGCCACGGUAAUACGAAGGGGGCUAGCGUUGUUCGGAUUUACUGGGCGUAAAGCGCACGUAGGCGGACUUUUAAGUCAGGGGUGAAAUCCCGGGGCUCAACCCCGGAACUGCCUUUGAUACUGGGAGUCUUGAGUUCGAGAGAGGUGAGUGGAAUUGCGAGUGUAGAGGUGAAAUUCGUAGAUAUUCGCAGGAACACCAGUGGCGAAGGCGGCUCACUGGCUCGAUACUGACGCUGAGGUGCGAAAGCGUGGGGAGCAAACAGGAUUAGAGACCCCUGUAGUCCCUGUCUCUUAUAA
rnacentral:rRNA from 1 species